UAAGUUACCCCAGUCCAUCCAUGAGCAGAUCAUAACAGGGGUAAAAUUGAGGAUAAAAAAUAAAAAAAAAAACAGGGCAAGCAUCUGCUCCAAGGAACAACUCAGAUCCGUAAGUUACCCCAGUCCAUCCAUGAGCAGAGAAAGUUGAGAAGGGACUAGGGAGAUCAUGCAGUGGUGCUGUGACGAACUGUUAUCAGUCUCAUAAAUUUGAAAUUUUGGUAUGCAUUGUACAGAUUGAUUAUAUAUAUGGGAACCAAAAUAUGAACAUG
rnacentral:misc_RNA from 1 species